AUUGAACGCUGGCGGCAUGCCUUACACAUGCAAGUCGAACGGAAACACGUCGUCGGAUGCUGACGAGUGGCGGACGGGUGAGUAAGACAUCGGAACGUACCCAGACCUGGGGUAUAGCGAGGCGUAAGGUAUGCUAAUACAGCAUACGAUCGAAGGAUGAGAUCAGGGGAGCGCAAGGGCUAGUGCGGGCGGAUCGGCCGAUGGCAGCUGAGUUAGUUGGUGGUAUAAGAGUUUACGAAGACGACGAUCUGUAGCGGGUCUGAGAGGACGAGCAGCCACACUGGGACUGAGACACGGCCCAGACUCCUACGGGAGGCAGCAGUGGGGAAUGUUGGACAAUGGGCGAAAGCCUGAUCCAGCAAUGCCGCGUGCGGGAUGAAGGCCUUCGGGUUGUAAACUGCUUUUGUGCGGAACGAACAGGUUCUGGCUAAUACGUGGGGCACAUGACGGUACCGUAAGAAUAAGCACCGGCUAACUACGUG
rnacentral:rRNA from 1 species